rnacentral:rRNA from 1 species
GAUGAACGCUAGCGGCAGGCUUAAUACAUGCAAGUCGAGGGGCAGCGGGGUAGCAAUACCGCCGGCGACCGGCAAACGGGUGCGGAACACGUACAGAACCUUCCUUUAAGCGGGGGAUAGCCCAUAGAAAUGUGGAUUAAUACCCCAUAGUAAUGUUUAAUGGCAUCAUUAGAUAUUUAAAGAUUUAUCACUUAAAGAUGGCUGUGCGGCUGAUUAGGUAGUUGGUGUGGGUAACGGCCCACCAAGCCAGCGAUCAGUAACUGGUGUGAGAGCACGACCAGUCACACGGGCACUGAGACACGGGCCCGACUCCUACGGGAGGCAGCAGUAAGGAAUAUUGGUCAAUGGACGCAAGUCUGAACCAGCCAUGCCGCGUGAAGGAUGAAGGCCCUCUGGGUUGUAAACCUCUUUCAGCAGGGAAGAAGCGAAAGUGACGGUACCUGCAGAAGAAGCGCCGGCUAACUACGUGCCAGCAG